CCUACGGGGGGCUGCAGUGGGGAAUAUUGGACAAUGGGCGCAAGCCUGAUCCAGCAAUACCGCGUGUGUGAAGAAGGCCUUAGGGUUGUAAAGCACUUUCAAUGGGGAGGAAAACCUACCGGUCAAUACCCGGUAGCUUGACCUUACCUGUAGAAGAAGCACCGGCUACCUCCGUGCCAGCAGCCGCGGUAAUACGGAGGGUACAAGCGGUGAUCGGAGUUACUGGGGGUAAAGCGUGCAGAGAGAUUUGAAAGCCCCGGGCUUAACCUGGGAACUGCAUUUGAAACUGGCGGACUAGAGUUGAGUAGAGGGGAGUGGAAUUUCAGGUGUAGCGGUGAAAUGCGUAGAUAUCUGAAGGAACACCAGUGGCGAAGGCGACUCCCUGGACUCAAACUGACGCUGAGGUACGAAAGCGUGGGUAGCAAACAGGAUUAGAUACCCGUGUAGUC
rnacentral:rRNA from 1 species